rnacentral:rRNA from 1 species
UACGUAGGGGGCGAGCGUUAUCCGGAAUUACGUGGGCGUAAAGGGUGCGUAGGUGGUUUUUUAAGUCAGAAGUGAAAGGCUACGGCUCAACCGUAGUAAGCUUUUUGAAACUAAAGAACUUGAGUGCAGGAGAGGAGAGUAGAAUUCCUAGUGUAGCGGUGAAAUGCGUAGAUAUUAGGAGGAAUACCAGUAGCGAAGGCGGCUCUC